CCAAUAGCGUAUAUUAAAGUUGUUGCAGUUAAAAAGCUCGUAGUUGAACUUCAGGCCUGUCCAGAUGGUCCGCCUUAAUUGGUGUGUACUGUCCUUGGGUGGGUCCUACCUUCUGGCGAAGCGGCAUGGCCUUAAUUGGUUGUGUUGGGGAAGCAGGACUUUUACUGUGACAAAAUUAGAGUGUUCAAAGCAGGCAUUAUAUGCUCGAAUACAUUAGCAUGGAAUAAUGGAAUAGGACGAUGGUUCUAUUUUGUUGGUUCUAGGACCGUUGUAAUGAUUAAUAGGGAUAGUUGGGGGAAUUAGUAUUCAAUUGUCAGAGGUGAAAUUCUUGGCUUUAUUGAAGACUAACUACUGCGAAAGCAUUUGCCAAGGAUGUUUUCAUUAAUCAAGAACGAAAGUUAGGGGAUCGAAGACGAUCAGAUACCGUCGUAGUCUUAACCAUAACCUAUGCCGACUAGGAAUCGGGCGAUGUUGACAAAAUGACUCGCUCGGCACCUCAUG
rnacentral:rRNA from 1 species